rnacentral:rRNA from 2 species
AAACUAACAAGGAUUCCCCUAGUAGCGGCGAGCGAAGCGGGAAGAGCUCAAAUUUAUAAUCUGGCACUUUCAGUGUCCGAGUUGUAAUCUCUAGAAGUGUUUUCCGCGUUGGACCGCACACAAGUCUGUUGGAAUACAGCGGCACAGUGGUGACACCCCCGUACACGGUGCGGACGCCCAGCGCUUUGUGAUACACUUUCGAAGAGUCGAGUUGUUUGGGAAUGCAGCUCAAAUUGGGUGGUAAAUUCCAUCUAAAGCUAAAUAUUGGCGAGAGACCGAUAGCGAACAAGUACCGUGAGGGAAAGAUGAAAAGCACUUUGGAAAGAGAGUUAACAGUACGUGAAAUUGUUGGAAGGGAAACGCUUGAAGUCAGACUUGCUUGCCGGAGCUUGCUUCGGUUUGCAGGCCAGCAUCAGUUUUCCGGGGUGGAUAAUGGCGGUUAGAAGGUAGCAGCUUCAGCUGUGUUAUAGCUUUCCGCUGGAUACAUCCUGGGGGACUGAGGAACGCAGCGUGCUUUUAGCGGGGGUUUCGACCUCUUCACGCUUAGGAUGCUGGUGUAAUGGCUUUAAACGAC